CCGGCACGGGUGAGUAACACGUAUGGAACCUGCCCUAUGCAGGGGGAUAAGCGGAAGAAAUUCCGUCUAAUACCGCAUAACACCUUUAGGAGACAUCUUCUUGGGGUCAAAGGAGGCGACUCCGGCAUAGGAUGGCCAUGCGUCGCAUUAGCUAGUCGGCGGGGUAACGGCCCACCGAGGCGACGAUGCGUAGGGGUUCUGAGAGGAAGGUCCCCCACACUGGUACUGAGACACGGACCAGACUCCUACGGGAGGCAGCAG
rnacentral:rRNA from 1 species